UGGGGAAUAUUGGACAAUGGGGGCAACCCUGAUCCAGCAAUACCGCGUGUGUGAAGAAGGCCUUAGGGUUGUAAAGCACUUUAGGCUGAGAGGAAGGUGCGCUGUUUAAGAGAUGACGUACUUGACUGUAUCAGCAGAAUAAGCACCGGCUAACUCUGUGCCAGCAGCCGCGGUAAUACAGAGGGUGCAAGCGUUAAUCGGAUUUACUGGGCGUAAAGGGCGCGUAGGCGGUUGAUUAAGUUGGAUGUGAAAUCCCUGGGCUUAACCUAGGAACUGCAUUCGAUACUGAUUGACUGGAGUACUGUAGAGGGUAGUGGAAUUUCCGGUGUAGCGGUGAAAUGCGUAGAGAUCGGAAGGAACACCAGUGGCGAAGGCGGCUACCUGGACAGAUACUGACGCUGAGGCGCGAGAGCGUGGGGAGCAAACAGG
rnacentral:rRNA from 1 species